rnacentral:rRNA from 1 species
GAUGAACGCUGGCGGCGUGCCUAAUACAUGCAAGUCGAGCGAACGGACGAGAAGCUUGCUUCUCUGAUGUUAGCGGCGGACGGGGGAGUAACACGUGGAUAACCUACCUAUAAGACUGGGAUAACUUCGGGAAACCGGAGCUAAUACCGGAUAAUAUUUUGAACAGCAUGGUUCAAAAGUGAAAGACGGUCUUGCUGUCACUUAUAGAUUGAUCCGCGCUGCAUUAGCUAGUUGGUAAGGUAACGGCUUACCAAGGCAACGAUGCAUAGCCGACCUGAGAGGGUGAUCGGCCACCCGGGAACUGAGACACGGUCCAGACUCCUACGGGAGGCAGCAGUAGGGAAUCCUCCGCAAUGGGCGAAAGCCUGACGGAGCAACGCCGCGUGAGUGAUGAAGGUCUUCGGAUCGUAAAACUCUGUUAUUAGGGAAGAACAUAUGUGUAAGUAACUGUGCACAUCUUGACGGUACCUAAUCAGAAAGCCACGGCUAACUACGUG